rnacentral:lncRNA from 1 species
UGAUUAUGUGAUAAAUGAAGUAUAUGCAUGAUAUAUGAAUAUGCAUGAAUGAUGGUGAUGUAUAUGUAUAAUGUAUGAUUAUGCAUGUUUUUAUGAAGAAGUGUUUAAGUACCAUUUCUUACACUUAUAUUUUGAGUAUGUUAUCUAACUCUCUUUUAUGUGUUAUGUGCUGGACCGUUGGGGGUCCAGAUUUUACAGGAUUUUGUGGUAUUCGAUGUCGAGUCGUCGGUGAA